GCAUAUCAAUAAGCGGAGGAAAAGAAACCAACAGGGAUUGCCCUAGUAACGGCGAGUGAAGCGGCAACAGCUCAAAUUUGAAAUCUGGCGCAAGCCCGAGUUGUAAUUUGUAGAGGAUGCUUCUGGGCAGCGGCCGGUCUAAGUUCCUUGGAACAGGACGUCAUAGAGGGUGAGAAUCCCGUAUGCGACCGGUUGGCACCCGUCACGUAGCUCCUUCGACGAGUCGAGUUGUUUGGGAAUGCAGCUCUAAAUGGGAGGUAAAUGCCUUCUAAAGCUAAAUACCGGCCAGAGACCGAUAGCGCACAAGUAGAGUGAUCGAAAGAUGAAAAGCACUUUGGAAAGAGAGUUAAACAGCACGUGAAAUUGUUGAAAGGGAAGCGCAUGCAACCAGACUUGUCGGCGGUGUUCCGCCGGUCUUCUGACCGGUUCACUCGCCGUCGGCAGGCCAGCAUCAUCUGGGAGCGCCGGAUAAAGGCGUGGGGAAUGUGGCUCUUCGGAGUGUUAUAGCCCCGCGUGCAAUACGGCGCCUCCCGGGUGAGGUCCGCGCUUCGGCUAGGAUGCUGGCGUAAUGGUUGUCUGCGGCCCGUCUUGAAACACGGACC
rnacentral:rRNA from 1 species